rnacentral:rRNA from 1 species
CGCGUAGGCGGCUUGGUCAGUCGGAUGUGAAAGCCCCGGGCUUAACCUGGGAAUUGCAUUCGAUACUGCCGAGCUCGAGUAUGGGAGAGGGAAGUGGAAUUUCCGGUGUAGCGGUGAAAUGCGUAGAUAUCGGAAGGAACACCAGUGGCGAAGGCGACUUCCUGGCCCAAUACUGACGCUGAGGUGCGAAAGCGUGGGGAGCAAACA